UCCUCUUCAUCCAUCUUCUCUUCAGCUCUUUGCACUUUUCACCUUUGCUUUUGCACUAGUUUGCAACUUUGCCCAAACUUUUUGGACGGUUCCAUUCCCUCCCGGGGGAGCAUCUCCUCUCCCCUGACCGUGUAUUAUGAAUGUACUCCUCUACCUGUGCAGCUAGUCAUGUCUAGGAGCUCUGGAGAUCAGCCUGGGAAUGUCCAGUGUAGGAGAUAUCCGAGCACCCCUCUCGGUGCAGAUGGUUUGGUCCAGAGCUCAGGUUGCGCAGACAGGCGUUGCGGCUGAUGGUUUGAACGUUAGCGUGUGGGAACCAACCAGACUGCUGAUCUGAGAGGCGGAUGCCGUGCAGCCAUCCUGGAAAGGAACAAAAAAGAGGUGCAGUGACCUACAGAGAGGUAAUUAUCUGCCGCCUUCCAACCCACUGUCGUAAGGUGAUCGCCCAUCUUCUGAUGUGGACGGGGAACGUCUGACAAAGCUUUGUGAGGACUAUAAUUAAGUGGGCACUUAAGGAUUUCUAAGGAAAUAUUUCCUAACACAGCUUCUACAGAAGGAAGAAAAAAAAAAACCCGGAAGAAAAAAAGGCAGAAAUCACCCUGUAAAUCAGACGUACUCGGUGCUGCACUACAAAACUUACUCCUACGUUUUUUUUUAUUGUACUUUGGACCCUAUAAUACUUCACUGCGGAUGUUACGUUGUAGUGGCUGAUAACUGCACAGUGUUGGGCAUUUUUUUUUUUCUCUUUUCUUUCCUGUUCCCACCCCAUUGUCUUUGUUACCGCUGUACGGUAUAUUUAUAGUGCACGUUGUUUCGGUAAAUGCAAACUUUUUUGUUUUGUUUAGUUUA